GAGACUAACUGCCUAUGUGGUUGCUAGUUGUUGAUUGCCUUGAUUUCAGCCUUCCUCUCUCCCUUUUUUUUUUUUUUUUCCUUUUCUUUCUCAUUCCCGAGCUUUUGCUUUAUUCCAAGUGGGGUCACGCUUUCUCUCUUAUUCUUAUUCUCCUCUUUUUCCUUCUCUUCCAUUUGAUUCUUGUCCUCCCUCCAUUGCUGCACGAAAAUGUGAAAGAGGAGGUGUAUCACGAUGACGACAACGAACAAGAGAGUGACUGACUAUAAGAAUUCCAUCCGGUUCAUAAUUUUCUUAUGGCACUAGUUCUCUAUGUAUGAUGUGUGUGUGUGUGUGUGUGUGCGUAAACAUGUCCCUUUUGCUGGUGCCGGAUGACGAUUAUCGGGUGCGGGACUGCACACAACCAGCAGAUCAAACCGGAGGAGGAAAUAAGACGACCGCUGUUUUGUUUUGUUUCUUCUUUCUUCAUUCAACUCCGCCCACUCACUAUAUUCCACCAUCAUGCAUGCUGAAGGAGAAAAAAAAAAAGCACCAGAAAAGUUUAGGUUGUUUUUUCUUGCCCCCCCCCCCCCAACCAACCAAAAAUAAAAGAGAGAAUAAGAGAAAUGCAUCAUCGUGGAAGGCAAUCGCAUGCAGAUAAGAAACUCAAACACACAGAGGAGAGUUCGUUUGGGACAUUGUGCUGGGAUAAUACCAAGAAGAAUACAGUGUUUGUGGUUCUCCGUUUUGUCGAUGGGCCACAUGAAAAUUGAAAAUCUCCCUUUUGAAUAGAUACGUAUAUUGUAUUCACAGUAGCCUAUGUUUUAAACAUUUAGAUAUUUUUCUUUAACACCAUAAGUCGUAUCUAUUUGACGGGCAAAAAGGUUGUUCCAGCUGAGGAAUAACUUUUCUUCCAAUGUACUAACUACUAAGAAGAUGGAGAGAAUUCCAAACAAGGCCUUCACUGAGAUUAUACGAUGUCGACAGCGUCGACCUUUGUUAUCUGACGUCAGAAUUCUAUUGUUCCAGGCCUUUUCCCAUCAGGGAACUGUUGACUGUAGUAAAUGUCUUUAGUAAAAAACAAAAAACAAAAAAAAACAUAUACCUGCUGGCCUUUCUCUACUUCCCUAUGCCACAACCCAAUUAAUAAAAAAACAAAAAAAACUUCUUUCUCGAAACGAGAUGAAAUGAAACGCAUUAGGCAAGCAUUGAAUGUCCAGGCACGUUUAUGCAUCCUGUUGAAUAUAUACGCCUACUGUUUAUUGCAAACUACGCACUUCCGCCGAGAUCAGGAUUUUCUUUCGUGUGGAUCCUGUGACAUGGGCAUAUCAAAUUCACGUAGUCUAGGCCUCUGCCAAUGCGAAGGAGACGGCCGGAUUGAUAAGCGACCAUUGCUGCAGUAGCUACAAUUAAUCGCACCGGUUAGUUUGGUUUCGUCAAGACUCGGAUAUCCUUUUGAUUCGAGUGCGUUGCUGAUGCAAUACAUGGGCCAUGGCGUUGGCACACGAACGAUUGACUAUGUUGCACAAUGUCUUAUCAUAUACAGCAGCAGCCGUGUGACGUUGCAGCCCCUUUUAUUUCUUUUCAAGUGUUCACUUUCGAUGAGAGAAAGAGUGGUCUGUAUAUAUAGUGCAGUCGGGUCGACUUCCGUUGGACAGUCGACAAAACUGGAUAAAUCUAAUAUUAAUUCAACUUUAUCGGAAUGUUUCGGCCUCCGAGAUUGCAGAAGAAUCAAUAAAAUGGCGUGCUUUAGACGUAUAUAUGUGCCAAAUGAUGUCGCAUCGACGCUGCACUCGGCACCGUAAAAAAACAACACGUAAUAUAGAACGGGAGGGGAUGCGUGUCGACGUCUAUACAGACUGCAUCACAAGUCCACAAAUAUAAGGAAAUGAGGUUAAAAAAAAACAAAUAAUAAUAAUAAUAAUUCUGGCAUCAGUGGAAAUAAUAAUGGACGAAAAAAGAGAGGCGCACGUGUCGGAAGCGCGUUACAGACUUAAAGAAAAAGAUGUAGAGAGAGAAAGAUUGGAGAUGGGAUAAAUGUCGCGUUUUGACUCGACUGAUGCCGAAUGCGCAUUGCGCUGUUGACUUGAAUCAAGUGGGCCGUUCGUUUGGGUCCGUUUUGAAUGCACCUAUAUGACGUUUACUGUCCGUCGCGUCCCAGCACGCAGAGCAGGCGCUAUAAUAAUUUAAAAAAAACCUAAAAAAAAAAAAUAAUAAUAAUACGUCAACAGACAAGCGAACAGACAAAACAAAAAGGAGAGAGAUUCGAAUUUCGCGCUCUCUGCCCGAAAUGACGUUUUUCCUUUAUCAGAUGUAUUAGGCUAUACGCUAUACUAUACUGGUAGAAGUUGUGUCGUCGUACGAUGCAAUCCUCUGUUGACGUGCACAGG